UGGAGGACACGGUACAGUAUUCCUUAGGUCUAAGGGUCAGAUCGCAAGUUUUUCCCAAUCCGACUCUUUAAUCUUCUUCUAAAUCAAUAGAAGCUUGGGAAAUUCAUCUUAAAUUGAGGAAAAAAAUUAGAAAAAUGUGAAAUCACUUGGGUUGGAAUCCUCUUUCUGAGUAGAAUCCAAUAAAAUGGGUUUCACACCUUUCCUGUAGUUUUGCUACAGUUUCUGGGCUAAAUCUUGCAAGUGUUGUUGAAAUAACCGUCUAAGUGUUGACCCUUGCAUUUGCAUUCCGUGUAGAGCUAAACCUCGCUG
rnacentral:lncRNA from 1 species